rnacentral:rRNA from 1 species
GCUGAGUUUAAGCAUAUCAAUAAGCGGAGGAAAAGAAA